rnacentral:rRNA from 1 species
GUGAGGAAUUUUCCGCAAUGGGCGAAAGCCUGACGGAGCAAUGCCGCGUGAAGGAUGAAGGCCUAUGGGUUGUAAACUUCUUUUCUCAGAAAAGAAUUAUGACGGUAUCUGAGGAAUAAGCAUCGGCUAACUCUGUGCCAGCAGCCGCGGUAAGACAGAGGAUGCAAGCGUUAUCCGGAAUGAUUGGGUGUAAAGCGUCUGUAGGUUGUUUAAAAAGUAUUCUGUCAAAGAUUAGGGCUUAACCCUAGAUAGGCAGAAUAAACUUUUAAGCUAGAGUUUGGUAGAGGCAGAGGGAAUUCCCGGUGGAGCGGUGAAAUGCGUAGAUAUCGGGAGGAACACCAAAGGCGAAGGCACUCUGCUGGGCCAAUACUAACACUGAGAGACGAAAGCGAGGGGAGCAAAUGGGAUUAGAAACCCUUGUAGUCC